rnacentral:rRNA from 1 species
ACGAACGCUGGCGGCGUGCCUAAUACAUGCAAGUAGAACGCUGAAGAGAGGAGCUUGCUCUUCUUGGAUGAGUUGCGAACGGGUGAGUAACGCGUAGGUAACCUGCCUUGUAGCGGGGGAUAACUAUUGGAAACGAUAGCUAAUACCGCAUAACAAUGGAUGACACAUGUCAUUUAUUUGAAAGGGGCAAUUGUUCCACUACAAGAUGGACCUGCGUUGUAUUAGCUAGUAGGUGAGGUAAUGGCUCACCUAGGCGACGAUACAUAGCCGACCUGAGAGGGUGAUCGGCCACACUGGGACUGAGACACGGCCCAGACUCCUACGGGAGGCAGCAGUAGGGAAUCUUCGGCAAUGGGGGCAACCCUGACCGAGCAACGCCGCGUGAGUGAAGAAGGUUUUCGGAUCGUAAAGCUCUGUUGUAAGUCAAGAACGGGUGUGAGAGUGGAAAGUUCACACUGUGACGGUAGCUUACCAGAAAGGGACGGCUAACUACGUGCCAGCAGCCGCGGUAAUACGUAGGUCCCGAGCGUUGUCCGGAUUUAUUGGGCGUAAAGCGAGCGCAGGCGGUUUGAUAAGUCUGAAGUUAAAGGCUGUGGCUCAACCAUAGUUCGCUUUGGAAACUGUCAAACUUGAGUGCAGAAGGGGAGAGUGGAAUUCCAUGUGUAGCGGUGAAAUGCGUAGAUAUAUGGAGGAACACCGGUGGCGAGAGCGGCUCUCUGGUCUGUAACUGACGCUGAGGCUCGAAAGCGUGGGGAGCGAACAGGAUUAGAUACCCUGGUAGUCCACGCCGUAAACGAUGAGUGCUAGGUGUUGGAUCCUUUCCGGGAUUCAGUGCCGCAGCUAACGCAUUAAGCACUCCGCCUGGGGAGUACGACCGCAAGGUUGAAACUCAAAGGAAUUGACGGGGGCCCGCACAAGCGGUGGAGCAUGUGGUUUAAUUCGAAGCAACGCGAAGAACCUUACCAGGUCUUGACAUCCCGAUGCUAUUUCUAGAGAUAGAAAGUUACUUCGGUACAUCGGUGACAGGUGGUGCAUGGUUGUCGUCAGCUCGUGUCGUGAGAUGUUGGGUUAAGUCCCGCAACGAGCGCAACCCCUAUUGUUAGUUGCCAUCAUUCAGUUGGGCACUCUAGCGAGACUGCCGGUAAUAAACCGGAGGAAGGUGGGGAUGACGUCAAAUCAUCAUGCCCCUUAUGACCUGGGCUACACACGUGCUACAAUGGUUGGUACAACGAGUUGCGAGUCGGUGACGGCGAGCUAAUCUCUUAAAGCCAAUCUCAGUUCGGAUUGUAGGCUGCAACUCGCCUACAUGAAGUCGGAAUCGCUAGUAAUCGCGGAUCAGCACGCCGCGGUGAAUACGUUCCCGGGCCUUGUACACACCGCCCGUCACACCACGAGAGUUUGUAACACCCGAAGUCGGUGAGGUAACCUUUUGGAGCCAGCCGCCUAAGGUGGGACAGAUGAUUGGGGUG